rnacentral:lncRNA from 1 species
GCUAACGGCCGGCCUGGGUGGCCCUAACGGCCGGGGUGGCCCUAACGCAAGCCCUACUGAUGGUGGCUGCGAGAAACGCAAAGGGGAAGGAGAAAAGAGGCCUGAAGAAGGUGACUUGCUUGACCAACAGAACGUAGCACGAGUGAAAUUCUAAGAUUUCCAAGGCCAGGUCAUAAGAAGUCUUGCAGCUUCCACCCAGCCCUUUGAAGAACUCACUCUGGUGAUCCUGAGUCACCUUGGAAGAAGUCUGACUCCCUUCAGGUCAUCAUGCUAGAGAGGCCACACGUGUGCCAGUCAACAUGCCAGCUGAGCCCAGUCUUCCAGCCGAGGCACCAUACUGGAAGAAGCUUUGGGAGGCAACUUGGCAGGCCUGGAGAGAAGAGACGUCUCUCCCACAGCAUCAGCAAACUAACACAUCAGAAGAGGGACUGAUGGGCUGUCCGCUUUGCCCAGAACCCCACCCAGCUGCUAGAACCUGCUGGCUGUCUCCCGGGCCCUCCGCUCCUCCGGGGACCCUGUGCUGUUGUCCUGCGGUUUGCGCCAUUCCUUACCUCACGUUACUAAACCAAUAGCACUAUUUGUGGUCAUUUUUGGCAGAUUACCACAUCUUGUUCAUUGAGAAUGUCUUUUACUCCCUAAUGUAUUUACCUCUCGUGGACUUAAUGUGACUGAAUAAUGACCGUCUUUGCAGGAGCAGAAGAGCCUUUGCAACUACUGGCAUUACAUAAACACUUGGAAUCUUGCAGCCGUGGGCCUGUGCUGGGUGAGGGAGGAAGUGGGAAGGUUUGGUGCUGGGCUGAGCGGCACACGGCAGACCCUCAGCGGGGUCAGGAGAGGCCAGGGAGGCCCUUGUGAGGCCUGAGGAGAGCCGUCUUGGGCAGUGGCUGCUCUCACACCUCCUCCUCUUUUUUUUUUUUGCUUGUUAGGGCCUGUAAACAUGCUGUAAACAACUGGUACUUGAGGAACCAGGAGAGAGAGAGCACCAGGACACGCUGUUACGUAACUGAACCCUCGACGCCCCUUGAGAAUGACAUGUUUGCAAGUUCCCAGGGACUGAUGCUACUGGGGCAACGAGGGAGAGAAGCCCCGCUUCAUCCUCCCCUUCCUCCUCCUCGGCCCACAUUUCCUCCUGUGGAAAUACUGGCUACCACGAGGGGUUCUAGCUUCAGCGCUGCGUUUUCUUGCCUGUGGCCCUUGUGACUGGCAUAGAAAUAAUUCAGCUGUUUCCAUUUUAAUUCCUCACCACAUGGCCAGAAUUGCUUAUCAAUGUAUAUUUUAAAA